rnacentral:rRNA from 1 species
CCUACGGGAGGCAGCAGUGAGGAAUAUUGGUCAAUGGGCGAGAGCCUGAACCAGCCAAGUCGCGUGAGGGAGUACUGCCCUAUGGGUUGUAAACCUCUUUUGUCGGGGAGCAAAAGCCGGACGUGUCCGGCUGUGAGAGUACCCGAAGAAAAAGCAUCGGCUAACUCCGUGCCAGCAGCCGCGGUAAUACGGAGGAUGCGAGCGUUAUCCGGAUUUAUUGGGUUUAAAGGGUGCGCAGGCGGAUUUUUAAGUUAGCGGGAAAAUCGUGGGGCUAAACCCCAUCCAGCAGUUGAAACUGGGGAUCUAGAGUGUGCGAGAGGUAUGCGGAAUGCGUGGUGUAGCGGUGAAAUGCAUAGAUAUCACGCAGAACCCCGAUUGCGAAGGCAGCAUACCGGUGCACAACUGACGCUGAGGCACGAAAGCGUGGGUAUCGAACAGGAUUAGAUACCCUGGUAGUC